CAAAGAAUCUGUCAUGAGUAGGGAAUUUUUUGUGAGUUAUUAACAAAAACAGUUAAGGAGCAAAAUAAAUGAAAGUAUUAAAAACAAAAAUGGCUAAAUCAAAUAGAAUGAAAAAGUGUCAAACCAAAAGAAAAAAAAUAACACUGCAAAGGCAUUAUGAUUAUGCAGACAAGUGGUGUUGCUGGAUUUAUUUGCACAGAAAAUUAAGUGGCACACCAAACUUAGAAACUUAGUGUGACACUUCCAUUUAGAAUUGAUGCAAUCAUCCAGAUGGAUUUGAAAAUAAAUUGUUGUAGGGCAACACCAAACUUAGAAUGUAAUCAUAUGCCAAUUUAUUGAAAAUAAACAAAGCAGACAAAGAAAGUAAACAAAGCAAAGACAUGAAAUAUUACCUACGGUUAGGUUGCCUCCCAACAAGCGCUCUUUUAGUGUUAUUAGCUUGACAUGUUGUUCUUCACUUUCUUCCUCUUCUUCCAGUUUGUUAAGAGGAAUGAGCUCAAGGGGGGAGAAGAUUCAGCUAUUGUCCUCUGUUUUGGUUUACUCUGAGCAAGCUUCCUUUGGUAAGUUGCUUAAUUGAACUUGCUUGCUGGUGGUUCAGGGGUUGGAUUGCUUGUGGUUGACCUUUUCUUCUUCAUGGAUACGAUCAAUUGUGGCUUGGUCACAAUCCUCUUCUCGGUGUUGUUGUUGGUUGCCUUCACUUCUUGGAUAUCAUGACUUGGUGGUUGUGUGAUUGUUGAAGUGAUUUCUUCCUCAGAAACUUCUUGCAUUGGGGUUUCAAUGAACCCUUCAUCUUUAUAGCUCUCUGCUUCAAAUGAGUGUGAAAUCUCUUGAUUGACUUCCUCCUUUUCUUCUUUACGAUCUUCCAUUAAAUCCUUUGGGAGUGAGUCCUUAUGUUCCAUUGUUACUUCAACUAGCCUCUGUGGAUUUGGAAUCCUGUGCUCAUUGAUGAGCGGAAAAUUUAUACGCUUUUUGGCAUUGUUUUUACUUAGUUUUUAGUAUGAUUUAGUUGGAUUUUUGUAUAUUUUUAUUAGUUUUUAAUUAAAAAUCACAUUGCUGGACUUUACUAUGAGUUUGUGUAUUUUUCUGUGAUUUCAGGUAUUUUCUGGCUGAAAUUGAGGGAGCUGAGCAAAAAUCUAAUUCAGGCUGAAAAAGGACUGCUGAUGCUGUUGGAUUCUGACCUCCCUGCACUCAAAGUAGAUUUUUUGGAGCUACAAAACUCCAAAUGGCGCGCUCUCAUUUGCGUUGGAAAGUAGACAUCCAGGGCUUUCCAGCAAUAUAUAAUAGUCCAUACUUUGUGUAACGUCCCGUCCAGCAAAAUACCUUGCUUAAGUCAGGGUAUUUCCACUAGAAAGAACAUUACGUAACCUUCUCUUGUAUUGACUACUUAAUUAUCGAGCCUUUGUAUCGAGUUCGCGUUUCAGUUUUAAGAAAAUUCCAGAAAAUUUUGUUUUCUUUUAUUCAUUAAAGUCAUAAUUCAAACAUUCACAAAUAAUAAUAAUCACAUAAAUAUUAUUAAUAAUAAUUCUUAUACAAAAGAGACCAAAUAAAACUCAAAUACAAUAUACUAAACCUACCCCUCUAUGUAAAAUAAAAUCUCAAAGGACAAUAGCGAGGGGACUCUAUGAAAGCAAUUAAAACCAUAAAGAAAGCCUACUAAUUGCUCGCAGCUUCAAAUUGCGUCUUUAAACUUGUCGCUGAAAGGGUGGAAAAUUUGGGGGUGAGAACCAAACCACAUGUUCUCAGUAGAGGUCGAGAAUGCCGUGAAAGUAAAGAAUAAAGCGCAAAUAGGUAACUGCAUUCAUAGACAUCUAAAAGGAAACUAACAUUCUUUAAAAGCAUUAGUUAAUUACUUAAUAUCCUAAAUCCAUAUUUUUCUUGUAAAACUUUUAAAAGUUUCCUAGACUGUAUGAAUGACCAACCUGUCCCAGUCAUAGGUUCAUUAAGUCUAUGCUGAACCAGUUUGAUUUUUCAUACCUUACUAGACCAUAAUAUAAAAGAAGUUACCUACGCGGUAUAAAUGAUCAUCUAGCUCCAAGCAUAGGUUCAUUAAGUCUAUCCUGAAUCAGUCAGAUAUUUAUACAAAACUAGACCUCAAACGUACCAGUCACGGCCUUAGGCCCAAACAACUCAAUCAACACCCAAUUCACCACAAUCCAGCCAAUCAGUUACAAACACAAGUAAUGAGGUUCAAACACAAUCAAGAGCAAUUACAUCAAGUAUAGCAACUAGCAGUUAAACAGAAUUAUUCACAUAGGCAAACCAAUUACAAUAUACACACCCAAACAAUGUCACAUAGAUGCAUAUGAUGCAUGCCUGUCCUAUUGGCCAUGAGCUCACGCGUCGGUUAUGUUGCCAGACCCGACUCGGAUAAGUAGGAUUAGACCACCAUCCUUAUCCGUAGGUUCCAUAGACAAGCGGGAAUUAAACCACCAUCCUUGUCCGGAACAUGCAAGCGGGAUUAAACCACCGUCCUUGCCUCCACAGUAAGCGGGAUUAAACCACCAUCCUUACUGGGUACAUAAAAUAAUAUGCAAGCGGGAUCACACCACCGUCCUUGCUGAACAAUUUAUCAAUACGUGAGCGGGAUAAAACCACCGUCCUCACUGCAGGCGGGACAAAACCACCAUCCCUGCAUAAUGGUUUACGCACUGAGCAAGCGGGACUAGACCCACGCCCCUACCAACAAUCUCAUAGAUCAAAUAUUCUUUUCUUAAAAGAAUCAUUGGAGUUAUUAUUAUUAAAUAAGCCUUGAAUAUUUAUUUUGAUUAAGUCCUUAUAUUUUUUAUAAAAAUUUGGACAUAAUCUCCUUUAAAAAUAGGACUUAUCCACCCUUACGGGUUCCUUCUUUCUCAACAGUUCAUCAGCCUCUUUCAGCAUUUGCCACAGUAAUAUAUUCUCAAAAACAUUUGAUAAUAGAAAAUCUAGUUCUUAAAUUCCAUAUCCAAAAUAAUUACCAACACAACUUGGCAGCCUGAUUUCCAUUUUGUUUUGUAAAAUAUCAAAUGAAUUUGGAAUUGUGCAAACUUUAUAUCCAUGCGACCGUCUCGGAUUAAGCUUUCUAUUAAAUCAAAAAUCAUAAUUUUUCGCUGACUAUAGCUUCGGGAAUAUAAGCAAAACCGUGACUGUUCUGCAGUGUUUUAAAACCAAAAGACAGCAGCACCAUACAACAUUUGAAAUUUCAUAUAAAAUCCAAAUUAAAUCCAACUACCUUCAAAAUUAAUGUGGUUAAACAUAACUCAUUCAAAUUUCUUUCUCAAUUGGUUCCAGGGUCAUACCAUUUUUAAUGAAGGAGUUACGUAGCUUGGAAGUUAGGUAAUUUUCUGCAGAAUUCUGUUUUAUAAAUCUUUGAACACAACCUCUUCCAAGUCCCAUAACUCACUUAUUAAAACAUAGAAAAUCCUGAAAUUUAAAUCACAUAUACUAAACAUACUUAAUUUUCACCUCCAAUUAGUUGCAUCUCAAUAUCUAUCCAGGAUCAAAAGUUAUAAACUCCCAAAUUUACUAAUUUAAGGAAACAGAAUCUGGCUUUUUCUGCAUAAUGCAUCAUCCUUCAAAAAUUCAUAUCUUUAAAACUACAAGUCCAAUUGUUCUGAAAUUUUACGGAAUUAAAAUAAUAGAAAUAAAGUUUUAUUUAAAAUUGGUUCCAUUUCAAAAUUCAAACUGAAAAAUUUCCAAUAGAGGAAUCAAGUUACUGCUGCGUUAAACGUUCUGCAGAAAAACCAGUUUUGACAUCCAUGAUUCAAAAAUUCACCAUAAAUCAUAAACUUAGUGAAAAAGUCUCAAAUUCAGCAGUCCAGUUCCCUAUAUCUCCAAGCUCAAUCCGGACUUAGUCCCACACAAUUCCGAUAAUCACAGAAAUAGUUAUAGUUUUUCAAAGUUUCCGGCUUCCUUUAAAAAUAAUGCAGAAAAUCAAGUUUUAUAUUUUAACUUUGAAGAAUCAUAACUAGUUCUAUAGUUAAUUCAAACUUCUCAAAAUUGAGUCCCAACAACAACUUUUAUUAUACUUUACUCAGCCUUUGCUCUUAUAUCAUUUUGAUUAUCGUUGAAUAACUAAUUCAUUUCCAAAGUCACCUUUUAAUUUCAAAAAUCAGUUUUUCAACAAUCUAUUUAGUAUUCAAAAUCCAACCCUUCAAAACCCCUCAAAACCAAUUCCAAAUCAACCACCAACCAAGUUCAUUAACAUUACAAUAUACCAAAUAACAACUCAACGGCAACAAAUCCAACAUAACCCAUUAAAAUUCAGAAAUUCUCAACAAUUAGUCAUCAAGCAAUUCCCAAUCCACAUAAUCAAUCAGUAUCACAAAUCAACAAUUCCAAAUUACAAUCUCAACCAUUCCAAUCACAAUUUCAGCCACAAUUCAAUAAUUACAUAAUCAAUCAAUUACUCACAGCUAUUAAAUCUCUUUGCAGUUAUUCAAUCAACCUUGCAGGCAUUCUUAAAUUGAAAUCGUUUUAAACCCCCUACCUCGAUGUCGCGAUUAAAAGAAUCCGGAGGCGGGAUUAUGACGAGGCAGCUGGCUGGACCACUACUAGCUAUGCAACAGUUUCAAUCAAGAUAGCAGCGGCGUUAGUUCCCAUAGCAGUGAUCAUGGUCGUAACGAAACGAAGAUUUCAAAUUCAAUAGAAUCAAAAGCAGAAGCGGCUCUGGAAAUUUAAAAUAGAGCACAGGCCAAAGUUGAAUUAAAACAAGAACAAGCAGAUUGAUAAAGUAUUGGCAAAAUAGGGCAUGUAACUGGAGCAGAAAUAAGGGAAAACAGCUAAUGUAAAACAGUGGAUGUUGAACCUAAUUGGAAUGGGAACAUGGCAGCAACGAUUCCCGAAAAUUCUCGUGUCUGUGACAGCUCCAACUCAACGGUCAUCAGCGGUGCCGCCCCCUUCUUACGUGCAGUGGCGACAGUGAUGGCUAGGGUUUGGCAGUGGUGGUCCAGGCAGAAUUGAUGUUAACGACUGAGCUUUCCCCUUGGGCGGCGGCGGUGCUUGGUGACAACAGGGACGACACUUCCUCCCUUUUCUACCUCAUUUUUCGUCUUCUACUUCUCCCUCACUCUCCUGUGAGGCAGCAACAGCAGCCGCGGUGCCUAUGGUGCACACUGGCGCUGCUCCCCCCUUCCCCUUUUUCCCUCUGCAUUCUCGCUCUCUCUCGAUUCCUCUUCCCCUGUUAUCUCUAAUUUCUUUCUUUUCUGUGUGCAAAUUUAUUUAUGUGGAGUGUAUUCCUGCGGGAAUGAACGGUGGAAAGAAAAGAAGCGUGGAGAAAUAAGGGAGGGGUAGUGUACUCUAUGUGUGUUUUAAUAAUUGGGUGAGGAGUAUACGUAUUGGAUGAUAACGGUACAUAAAAAUAAGAAAUAUAGAGUUAGGGUUAGAAUAAAAGAUAUAGGAUUAAUAUAUGAAUUUUACAAAAUAUUCAAGAUAAAUGACAAUUUAUGAUUUAAAUAUAACAUUGUGAAAAUUAGUCUCGGAACACAAUUUUAUUUAUUAAUUCAUUAAUGAGUUCAAAUAAUUAUUUCUAAUUUAAAUCAUAAAAUCAAUAUUCUAAUCAUUUUAUAAAACAGUUUAAACCUGAAAUAUCUAUUGCCCUCAUUAUUUUUCUAUUACCAAAACUUUAAUUUCAAUUUGUAUAAAAUAACUCGUUAUAAUCAAAAUUGUGCACAGAUACUGAUUAACUUAAAAUUAAAGUAUUUAUCAAAAUAAAUUUAAUCAUGCCUAAUAAAUUAGUCUCUAAGAGCUCAAACUAAUAAAAUAAACCAUAAUUUAUUCAUAAUAAAAAUUACUUAAAUAAAUUAUAUAACACUUUCUAUCAAAUUAGUAAAAUAAAUUGUAUUUUUUUCAGGAUAAAAGUUACUUAAAUUAAAUUGUACAAUUCUUUAUUAUUUUUUAAUUACUAAAAUUAUACAAAAUAUUCCAAUAUAAUAAAAUUACUUAAGAAUAUUAAUUGAUUCACAAUAAAAUUAUCUCCGAGUCUAUUUAAUUAUUUCUAAUAAAAUAAUUUCUAAAGUUAUAAAGUUUAAACUUAGUAAGAUAAAAUCACAAUUUAUUUAUAUUUAGAUUUUCAAAAAUGCGGGAUGUUACAUUCUAUCCAACUUACAAAAAUUUUCGCCCUCGAAAAUUGAUACAAGAUGAAGAAAAAGUUUAUUUUCACAUCCCCUUUUGAACAUUUUAAAGGAUCCAAGAAAAUCAUAUCACAUAAACAUAGAAGAAAAUAUACUAGGUAAUGCAAGAGUUGAUAAAAUAACUUAACACAAGAAAAUUUUCAAAAUCCAAAAUCAAAUAGGCACAAUAUUCGUUCAGAACUCUUAACAAAGCACGACCACUUCCUCUUGUCGCCUCAGAAUUAAACUCCUUAUAACUUCGUAUACUGACCAGAUUCACUUUCCGUACGCACAAAUCGUGUCCCUAAGAACUACUGCCUAUAAGGAAUACGAAACAUGAGAAGAGAAAGACAAACGGCACGAAAGGUUUAUGCGUGAAAUUAGAAGAAUACUCAAGUUUGCAAUUGCACAAGAUGGUAUUUCGCAAGGUUUUGAAGGAAUACGUGAGAUCGUCAACAAACAAGGAUAUAUAUAAGCAAUGAAAUGGAGCAUAAAGGGAGUUAAUUCAAAGCUUAGGAAGAAAUUUUAAAUCGAACAGUUUCAAUAUGAACAUCAUUAGGGAAGAUAGUACAACGAUUUUGAACAACUUCAAUUUGAAAUAGAGGGAAUUAGUUUAUCUUUUUCAAAAGAAUAUAUAUAAAUCUAACAUUUCCCAAAAGUACUAAACUUAGUAUAAAUAAUGUUAUAUUAAUUUAGUUUUUAAAUCAAAACAAAUCAUGCAUGGUUUGUAAAUUAAAGCUUGUUUGAUGUCAAGGGCAAAAUAUUUUCUAAAAAAAAAUCCUGGAGAAUACUUAAGUACAUAAUUAGGUAAGGAUAGCCAUAGAAUUAUAAUAAAGUUGGAAGAAAAUCUGGUUCAAUUCAAAGAAUAAUUUUUGAAAUAAAAUUUUCUAUAAAUCAAUAAAAGAAAAAUAGUAUAUCACAAAUAAACAAGAUUAAACUAUAUAAAGAAGUUUUAGAGUUUAUAUAAGAAAGUCUAGGCUGAAUUAAAAAUAAUCCCAUCAAAAUUUAAGCAAGGGUUGUGGAUACAAUCAAGUAAGAAAAGAUUUAAAUUGAAAUUUUUCUCGAAGAGAAUCUGAAACAAAUACUCAAGAAGGAAAUUACAAGAAAUGAUAUGUUGCACCGAAAUAAAUCCAAGUUCAAAGCAAAGAGCAUAGAGUUGGUAAGGUAUAAGAUAAAUGGUUCAAAAGAUUCAAACAACAACUAGAUACAGAGUCAAGCAAGGAUAUGCACGAAUGAUAACACAAGAUUAGCAAGAAAGAGAUCAGAAACUAGAAAUUCCAAUACAAUUAAUAGAGAAAGAGAUAACACUAAGCACGAAUAAAGAGCAUACGUCGAAACGGAACUAAUCUCUAGAAUUUAGUUUCUAACGUCCCCAAAACCUCGUGAUUCGCAUUAACCUUAUCACUUCUAUUUCGUCUAUGAUAACCCAUUAGUAUUUCCAUAUACAUAAAUCAUUAGUAUUAAGUUGGCCAAACUUGAUACCAUGAGGUAUGCAAUGGUAAUCUAAUAGCAUUAAUCAUUAGACAGUCAUGCAUAUAAAACACAAACUCUUGUCAUAAGAACAAGCUAUAAAGCAUGACAGACACUCAGAGUACGCAAUGAAGCAUAGUCAGUCCACUCCCAAGGCUCUACAGGAAAGACUGCUCUGAUACCAUAUUGUAACGUCCCGUCCAGCAAAAUACCUUGCUUAAGUCAGGGUAUUUCCACUAGAAAGAACAUUACGUAACCUUCUCUAGUAUUGACUACUUAAUUAUCGAGCCUUUGUAUCGAGUUCGCGUUUCAGUUUUAAGAAAAUUCCAGAAAUUUUGUUUUUUUCUUAUUCAUUAAAGUCAUAAUUCAAACAUUCACAAAUAAUAAUAAUCACAUAAAUAUUAUUGAUAAUAAUUCUUAUACAAAAGAGACCAAAAAAAACUCAAAUACAAUAUACUAAACCUACCCCUCUAUGUAAAAUAAAAUCUCAAAGGACAAUAGCGAGGGGACUCUAUGAAAGCAAUUAAAACCAUAAAGAAAGCCUACUGAUCGCUCGCAGCUUCAAAUUGCGUCUUCAAACCUGUUGCUGAAAGGGUGAAAAAUUUGGGGGUGAGAACCAAACCACAUGUUCUCAGUAGAGGUCGAGAAUGCCGUGAAAGUAAAGAAUAAAGCGCAAAUAGUUAACUGCAUUCAUAGACAUCUAAAAGGAAACUAACUUUCUUUAAAAGCAUUAGUUAAUUACUUAAUAUCCUAAAUCCAUAUUUUUCUUGUAAAACUUUUAAAAGUUUCCUAGACUGUAUGAAUGACCAACCUGUCCCAGUCAUAGGUUCAUUAAGUCUAUGCUGAACAAGUUUGAUUUUUCAUACCUUACAAGACCAUAACAUAACAGAAGUUACCUACGCGGUAUAAAUGAUCAUCCUACUCCAAGCAUAGGUUCAUUAAGUCUAUGCUGAAUCAGUCAGAUACUUUAUACAAAACUAGACCUCAAACAUACCAGUCACACAACAGUUCAUCAGCCUCUUUCAGCAUUUGCCACAGCAAUAUAUUCUCAAAAACAUUUGAUAAUAGAAAAUCUAUUUCUUAAAUUCCAUAUCCAAAAUAAUUACCAACACAACUUGGCAGCCUGAUUUCCAUUUUGUUUUGUAAAAUAUCAAAUGAAUUUGGAAUUGUGAAAACUUUAUAUCCAUGCGACCGUCUCGGAUUAAGCUUUCUAUUAAAUCAAAAAUCAUAAUUUUUCGCUGACUAUAGCUUCGGGAAUAUAAGCAAAACCGUGACUGUUCUGCAGUGUUUUAAAACCAGAAGACAGCAGCACCAUACAACAUUUGAAAUUUCAUAUAAAAUCUAAAUUAAAUCCAACUACCUUCAAAAUUAAUGUGGUUAAACAUAACUCAUCCAAAUGUUUUCUCAAUUGGUUCCAAGGUCAUACCAUUUUUAAUGAAGGAGUUACGUAGCUUGGAAAUUAGGUAAUUUUCUGCAGAAUUCUGUUUUACAAAUCAUUGAACACAACCUCUUCCAAGUUCCAUAACUCACUUAUUAAAACAUAGAAAAUCCUGAAAUUUAAAUCACAUAUACUAAACAUACUUAAUUUUCACCUCCAACUGGUUGCAUCUCAAUAUCUAUCCAGGAUCAAAAGUUAUAAACUCCCAAAGUUACUAAUUUAAGGAAACAGAAUCUGGCUUUUUCUGCAUAAUGCAUCAUCCUUCAAAAAUUCAUAUCUUUAAAACUACAAGUCCAAUUGUUCUGAAAUUUUACGGCAUUAAAAUAAUAGGAAUAAAGUUUUAUUUAAAAUUGGUUCCAUUUCAAAAUUCAAACUGCAAAAUUUCCAAUAGAGGAAUCAAGUUACUGCUGCGUUAAACGUUCUGCAGAAAAACCAGUUUUGACAUCCAUGAUUCAAAAAUUCACCAUAAAUCAUAAACUUAAUGAAAAAGUCUCAAAUUCAGCAGUCCAGUUCCCUAUAUCCCCAAGCUCAAUCCGGAUUUGGUCCCACACAAUUCCGAUAAUCACAGAAAUAGUUAUAGUUUUUCAAAGUUUCCGGCUUCCUUUAAAAAUAAUGCAGAAAAUCAAGUUUUACAUUUUAACUUUGAAGAAUCAUAACUAGUUCUAUAGUUAAUUCAAACUUCUCAAAAUUGAGUCCCAACAACAACUUUUAUUAUACUUUACUCAGCCUUUGCUCUUAUAUCAUUUCGAUUAUCGUUGAAUAACUAAUUCACUUCCAAAGUCACCGUUUAAUUUUAAAAAUCAGUUUUUCACCAAUAUAUUUAGUAUUCAAAAUCCAACCCUUCAAAACCCCUCAAAACCAAUUCCAAAUCAACCACCAACCAAGUUUAUUAAUAUUACAAUAUACCAAAUAACAACUCAACGGCAACAAAUCCAACAUAACCCAUUAAAAUUCAGAAAUUCUCUACAAUUAGUCAUCAAGCAAUUCCCAAUCCACAUAAUCAAUCAGUAUCACAAAUCAACAAUUCCAAAUCACAAUCUCAACCAUUCCAAUCACAAUUUCAGCCACAAUUCAAUAAUUACAUAAUCAAUCAAUUACUCACAGCUAUUAAAUCUCUUUGCAGUUAUUCAAUAAACCUUGCAGGCAUUCUUAAAUUGAAAUUGUU
rnacentral:lncRNA from 1 species